GGACUGUGGGAUUUUGCAACCAGGGCACCAUACAGGUUAACCUGGGGAUACAUCCUGAAGGGAUACAAYCAUCAGCCCUCAGCUCAGACCAGGUGACAAUAAAUACGGUCUUUACUGAAACUGAAGCCCACAUGCCCCAUGGAGGUAGCAGUUGAAGGUACCUGUCCUCCAGGAUAUAAACUAAGUUGGAAAUCUUGCCAGGAAGUUUAAGGCCAAAAGAUGAUGUAGAUGCAAAAGAAGCAUUCUGGRCAGGUUGUUGAUCCUAGAAGUGAAAAGUGACCUUCAAACACUGUGGUUCAGCACUGGGAGCCUGAUCCAGUCUGCUGGGGAGAAAGGAGGUCUGAAUUCUUAUUCCCAAGAGAGUUUUGAGAACCUCCAGAAGAAAACUGCUGACAACAAAUGCCCGUUAAUUAAAACCAAAAAUUUAUCAGCCUAA